AGUGGGAUAGUUGGGUCAAAUUGUGGUUCCAUUCCAAAUUUUCUGAGUAAUCUCUAUACUGUUUUCCAGAGAGGUUGUACCAAUUUGCACUCCAACCAACAAU
rnacentral:pre_miRNA from 1 species